UGAUGUACAAUUACCAAGCUCAUCAAUUACGCCAAUAACAGAAAUGCGUAUCAACCAAGAGAAAGUAGCUCUGGAGAUUAAGAAAAUGACCUAGGUUCAGUCUCAUUUUAAAGAUAGAAAAAUGGAAAUGUCUUUGUCUUUCAUGGACACACUUUCAGGGUAUUGAAUUAAAGUAAUCGUCUUUGAUAAUUAAGUCUACUAAACGUGUACAUAUUUUCAACCAUUCUAAAUCUUUUAAAAAAUAUAUAUCGUGCAAAAUGCAUCGGAUGUUAACAAUUUUUUCUCUCUGUAUUAGUUUAGAAAUUAAAGAUGCAUACGUCCAAGAUGAAAUCAAAAGUCAGUUUUAAGGUGUAAAUUAUCUAAGCCAGGUAUAUAAAUUUAAUUUUUGCCAAAGUUGUGUUUUUACAUGUAUCCACUGAACUAGAGCCUCCUGUGGAUGUCAGGCAAUAUGAAAUUUAUAGUGAUGGUAGAUUAUUAGAGCAACAUGGUGUAGCACCUUGAGAAAAUAAAAUAUUUCACCGUCGACCUUCAUAUUCCUAACAAAAAAUGCUGGUACAACAUGCACAUUUUGAAAUUAGUGUGAAACCCCAGUGCUACAGUGAUGAAGCAAGCUCCUUUUUAAUUUUAGUUUUUUUAUAUUAACCCAACCAAAAUUUAGAGCCAGUCCAUUUUAUGAUGGUUUUAGACACUCGGUGUCAAUUGUUCAAUGGUACCAACUAACUUUUCAUAUCACCUUUUAUUUAUCGUUUGCUUUUCACAGCAACUGAGCACAUCACUGUGCUUUCUCCUUUUCCCUGAAGAAGUAAACUUGCCUUUUUAGCUUCCUGAAAAAAGCAGGCGACUCUGGUGGCUUAUAUUUAGUUACAGUUCAUAAAGGCAGGACUGCGAGUCAGACCCGGGACUUCUUUCUUUUCUGUUGUGUGUUUGCGUGCUGAUGGGGACUGGCUUUUCUUCUUAUUGUUGUAGUUUGAAAUGGAAACGCUGCACUGCUGAGAAAAUACCAUGAAAAUAUAACCCACUGCAUUCCAGGAAAAUAAAUAAGCAAGGCCACCCAAAUUUUCAAUUAGUGCUCCGGCAGAAUGCAGGAAAUGGCAAGAGAUCCGUCCAAGGCACCCUAGGCCGGGUCGUGGGUAGAGAGCAGGGACGAAGGCUGGGAGGGGACACAGGCGCAGUGUGAAGAUGGCCCGUCUCCAAGGAAAACUGCGUGCUAAUAGGCUGGGCUGGCGUCCUGGAUCAGCCCGGCCGGGCUGUCCGUUCUGACUGAGGGUGCAGCUGUGCUUCGUUCAGGGCAGGGUGCUGCCUGGUGAAGUGACACUCGAGAGUUCCAGGGGCACUUCCCAUCUUACACGAUAAGCUUAACCAACGUUCUCCAUAACCCCUCCCCGCCAUGGGAAGCGUCAGCCUCCUGAAACAGCAGUAUGCUGGUCCGUUGUGAAAAGGAUCAAACGCUUUUGAUUUAAAGCGUUAGGCCUAAGAAGCGCUGUUUCCUCCUCGGUGGGCACAUGCCUGGCUAACAUGCCCCAGCCGACCGGGGAAGCCGCUGGCCCUAAGGGAGAAAGGCGCAGGGAUGUCCCCUCCGCAGAGCGAAUGUCAGGGAAGAAGCCAGGUCUUCCGAGGGGCUGACAAGGCCGGGCGCACACGCUCCUUCCCUCCAUGGUGUUUCUCUGCAAUGUUCAAAUCACUGGUGUGAUGGCAGCACUUGAAAGCCGAAAAAGGAAAGAUGAAAACAAAGGAUUCUUCAGGGAACGUGUAUACAGACUCCUGCUUCCCCUCACUUGCUUUCUGUUUCACUUCUCAGAUGGUCACGACAGCGUCUGCAGCUUUCCAGCUCAUCAGGGUGAACUGAAGACGAGGGGACAAUGAGGUUGGGUGUUUCGGCAGCACGGUGGUGUCCCAGCUUACAAAACAGACAACUAUGAUUAUUUGGGAUACAUUUUAUCUGUUGUGAGCCUAAACCUUUUUUACUUCUAAAACCUUCAGGUUGCAUUGGUAAACAAGAAGUAAAUAUACACAUUCUAUUUAUUCUUAGAACCAAGAAAUGAACUAAUUGAGUAGCGAGUGUGGACCACAGUUGCAAAGGAAAGAAACUCACAAGCGAGCUCUCCAAGCUGUGAUUAUGUGGGCAAGAAGAAUGGCCUGGGUGAAGAGAAGAUGAAGAGCCAUCACUCCAACCAAACAGCAAAUAUGAAAUUCAAAUUAUCCUUUGUAAUUUUUCAGUUAGCAGUGCUGUGUAUCUGUGGAAAUCAUGGGAGAGAUUAAAAAAAAUUCUUAUCACCUCACAAAGGUAGAAUGAACGGGAACAAAAGCGCUGACUGUAUAUUUCUUCUUAGCCAGCUUCUUCCAGUUGAGCACAUUUUCUUGGCAAAUCGACUAUUUUGUUAGGUUAAAAAGGCUGUCGUUUCCUUUUCAGAGUAAAAUCAGGAAUUUCAUUUUUGUACAAUACUACAGCAUUUCCUAUCAUUGAAUUCUAAUGAUUUGAGAGUGUGUUUUUUGUCUAGGUUUCAAAUACAAAGCAAGGAACAGAAAAAAAAAAAAAACUCUUUCCAUUUGCAGUAGUUUCAAAAUACACAUGGCUUGAGAUUUUGUAAGUUAAGGAAUUUCCAGCCACAGAGAAAUCAAGAACUGUGACCAAUCCCAGGGCAGCUCUGGGAGGAACAGCCCGUGGAGCGUGGGCAGCCGUGGCCUUCUAGCCUGGCCCCUCUGGCCCUCAGGUGCCGCGCUCUGCUUCUCUUCUUGUCUUCUGUCUUUUCACCACCAUACCUGCAGCUCUUGGCGUUUGUUAGGACCUUCCAUCCAUCCAGCGGCUUCCAGAAAAUUAUCUAAUGAAUUCAUACCCAUGUGAGUUAUUCAUGGGGUUUAACUGAUUUAUUCAGCAAAUGUGCAGAUGUUUCCAAGCACCCUACUUGUUGAGGUCUCUGAGAAAUAUAGAAAUGAUGCUGGCACUUGAUAAAAUACCAAAAUAAAUCACCACCCUGCAAGGCUUUGGACUCGGCGUCAGAACUGGAAAGGAUCUUGACACCACACAGACCAACCCUCUGAUUUCAUAGAUGAGAACGUUAAGGCCUAGAACCAGCCAAUGACAUGAGCGGAUUUCCACUAAAACUCCAUAGAAAUCUGCUGGUCUCUCUGGUGCUCUUUCUGGAUUGCGUCAAUAUCCAAAUCUUUCUCACGUGUUGUGGUAGAUGAAAUUGCUGUUAAAAUAUUCACUGCCCCUCUGACAGGCUUCUCCCACUGAGAGAAUGACACACCCUCAUCCCGCUAACGUCAGCCUUGGCCCUGACUUGCUUUGAGAGUGGAAUGAGAGCAGAAGUGACCUGUGCCGUGGUGCGACAGAAGCUAUCUGCCUUUUUUUUUUCCUUCCAGGGCAUCCACGUUCAUCUGAAUAAAGACUGCCUCUUCAGCCACAGCUAAGAUGCCUGUAAUAGGAGUGAGAGCCGCCUCUGUUGCAGGAAGCCCCUGGGAUUUCAGAGCUGCUUGUAACUGCAGCCUAACACAGCCUCAGCAGACCGAUACGUCGUCGUGUCGCCAAAACAGAGCAGGAAGGAAUCAGAGUCAGCAGUGAUGGUUCUGUUGGUUAAAACUAGUGACACCGACUGGCACACUCACCUGAAUGGUGCACGGUUGGCACAAACGGAUUUGUGGAUGUGAUUUGGAAAUGGAGAGAUUCUGUGUCCUAAAACCAAUGUACAGAUGGUGACCUCCAGGAACAUGGAUGGAGUUGGAGGUCAUUAUUCUUCACAAACUAAUGCAGGAACAGAAAACCGAAUGCUACAUGUUCUCACCGCACAAAUGACAGUAACCAUCACACACUGAUCUGCAGAUAAAGAGGGAAGCUAUUUUUUUCUCACCGUUUCUGUCUGAUUUGGAAACCAAGCAGUGGCUGGUUAGUAAUAUCAUUUUGUUUCCAUUCCACUGUGUGUGACUGUCAUCCAAUACCUGUGUACUCUCAGCUUCCAUAAAUUCGGUAAAUUGUAUUGGAUUAAUAGCUGGAUGGAACACGGCCAAGAAACCAGUGUGUUAAAGGAGAAAAUGUUGGCUAUUCUAUUUAUAUUCAUUUUACCGUUGAGCCAGCCAAUGAAACUGAGUUAUGGAUGGAUGUCAGAGUACAAGGAACCAAUUUUCAGUUUGAACAAUUCCACUUUAUUUCUUCAGAAGUAGCACACAGGAGGAAGAACACAGUAACAACAAUUGGCUUUUCAACGCUGCGUGUUUGCACUAAGAUUUUAUCAUUGAGCAUUUUAAGAGAGGAUCAUGCUGAAAAUGAAAUCGUCUGAUACUUUGGGGGAUUCUGAGCUGAUGGAUGACGGUGUGGGCUGGGGGUCUCCUGCCUGGGUAAUGGGUGCUGCUGCACGCAGCCCCCAGCCCCACGCGUUUCCAUCAUCACCACUGCCUGCUCACAGCUCUCAGGAAGGAUUCCAGGCGCCUUUCAUCGUUCCUGUAGCGAACACGCACCACUCAAAAUACCAGUAAUUAAAUCUCUCUCAGACGAAAUGCACAGGACUUGAAGGCUUAAGCAUUUUACAUGGGGAGAGAAGAACAGACAUGGAAAGCAACCUGAGAAAGGCAGCUGUGUGAAGGAGCCGCCUUCGGAGGGCUGGUGCUGAGAGAAGCCGCCUUCGGAGGGCUGGUGCUGAGACAUCCUUUGGGUGGUUUUGUCGAGAUCGGUCGAGAUCGAGAGGAAUAAGGGACGUUUCUAUAAUGCCUGUUUGAUUCAGAGUGGACAAAGGGAGAAGCUCUGCGCGAAUGUGCCCUGCUCACUGAUUCGGAUUGGGCAGCACAGCUGGGAAGCCAGGCGGUGCCUGAGAAUGCUGCUGUCACCGUCACCGUGCUGGUGGACCCUCAUAGCCAAGGUGACUGGAAGGCUGGGCUCACUUUCAAAGAUCCUUACCUGAAUACCUAAAAGAACAAAAGUUCUGCAAUGAAGAUUCCUUGUGAAACACUCGGGGUUAUAGUUUGAAGUGAACCAAACAGCCGGCUCAUUGUUUGAGAAACAGUUGUUUCACGGGUGAAUCGACUCCUCUUCGGCAGCCACUGGUUUGCUAAGGAUUUACUUUGAACAUUUCGAUGAUGUAAUUAGUUAAGAUGUGGCCAUACCGGCCUAGUGGGCCCUAAAUCCAGUGAGACUGGUAUCCUUAUAAGAAGACGGAGACACGGGGAGAAGAUGGCCCCGUGAUACCAGAAGCAGACUGGAGUGAUGCAUCUGCAAACCAGGAAACAUCAAGCAAUGCUGGCAACACCAUGAGAAGAGACAAGGGAGGACCCUUCCCUAGCACUUCAGAGGGCAGACGGCCCUUCUGGCACCGUGACUUGGGACUUCUAGCUUCCAGAACCCUGAGAGAAUACGCCUGUGGUUUGAAGCCACCCGGUCUUUGCCAGUGUGUCAUGGCAGCUCUAAGAAACCAACCCAGCGUGGUUAUGCAUUUUCCUUAAGUCCAGAUCUUGGCUAACAGGAAGUGGCAAGAAAAUAAGGAAAAGCCAACUCUCUCUCUCUCUCUCUCUGGCCAGGAUGGUGUCUCCUCCCACGUGGAGAAGGAGAGCUGCUCCUUCUGCCAUUACUGCCAUUACUGCUAAUGAAAAGUGAAAUGACAAGUGAGGAGUGAGAAAAUCGGAUGGCCCCUGGUGGGCACACGCUGUGGGACUCGCUAGCCAGUGUAAGGAGCUCGGAGAGGCGUGACAGCGCUCCCCAGACAGGACGGUUCUCCAGAUUUUGAGAAAGGCACGUCUUCUCUGGUCAUCUCUAGUUUCAGACCCAGAGAAAAGCCCGGUUCUUGGCUGGUAUUUAAGCUCCUCAUUUUUGUCACAUUGCUUUCUCACUCUAAUGGUCUUGAUCAAGUUUUCACCCUGUGAGAGUCACACGCGGGAGGAAUGGGAUGGAGCGCUCAGCCGUUCACAGAGCCCAGCCCUGCCUCCCUCUGCUUGGUGUGCUUACUCUUGGCAAGAUGCAGCUUCCUGUUCAGAGAAAAAGGACUUAAAAAGGAUCGUAAAAUGGGCUCCCAAGGCUCCUUGAAUAGCAAAUAGCUUUUAAAAGACAACACUUUAAUGGCCUAUGAGUAUCCAAGUCAAAAACAAAAGUAUUGAAUAUCCCUUUAAAUGUGUAUGAGUUUAAAAAGCAAGAUGGGAAUAGAUUUGGCAAAGUUUCUUCUGGAUUUUAUAGAAUUCAAAAUGCUCAAAAAAUUUUUACCUAUACGCCCACACACAACUGCAAAACUUUUAUAAACGACGUGGGGAGAUAACAAAAAUGAUACUGUGCAAAUCCAAACAGUAUGCAGCUUCUGCAUUGCUGUGCCUGAUGGAAAUAUUUCUCUCUUUUAUGAGCGUCUCUCUGUGCGUGGAGAAGGAAGAAAGAUGGGCGUAUGAGGCAGGGAGGGGAGAAAGGAGGAAGAGAAGCCUAUUCCGGGCUUCAUGGCCGUUCUCAGUACUCACUCGUGUGCCCUCUAAAUGGAACCAUUUGCUGUACAUUUUGAAUUGCUAACAUUUGGUAGACUAGGGGACAAUGGAUUUUUGCGUAAACUAUGAAUUUUAUGACAAUGAAUUAGCAUGUUCAUUGAACAGAAAGUAAACAAAGCUUAGUACAAAAUCGGUUCAGUAGAUAACCUAACUCUUCUGCUGCUUAAUGAAGUGUUGGUGAUGAAACCAAAACAAAUAGCUUUAUGCUUUGUAAAGCACAGGGAAACGUACUUUCGUGUUUAAUUACUGUGUGGUUAUGACAAGGCUGGUACCUGCCUGAACCAUAAGUGACAAAGUUUGCAGCAGCCGCUCCUGCUUCAGCAGACUGGGUGUUGAACUAACCAGUUACAGCACUGGCAUUAGAACAGAGAGGGAAAAUGGGCAUGCAAAUAUAGUCAGUUCUGACGAACCUCCAACAUCUGUGAAGCACCUACUGCGUGUGUGCCAGGCACUGGGGAUAUGGCACAAUGAGAUGGGGGCAUUUGCAUUGUCCAGAACUCUAGGGAGGGUAGGGAGGAUGAGGCGUGACUGUCUUAGUAGUUUUGUGAUGAUGAAUUUCGUGUCACCUUGACUGGACCAGGUUAGUUCAGAUAUUUGGCUAACCUUUAUUCUGGGGGUUUCUGUGAGGGUGUUUUGGAUGAGAUGGGCAUUUAAAUUGGUAGACCGUGUAAAACAGAUGCCCCCCCCCUCCAAGUGGGUGAGCACCAUCCAAUCUGAGGAGGCCUGAACAAAACAAAAGGCAGAGGAGGGGAUUUGUUCUCUCUGCCUCACUUCUUGAGCUGGGGCAUGGUUCUUUUCCUGUCAUCUUUUUAGGCCAUCUGCUCUCCUGGUUCUCAGACCUUCGGACUCAGGCUGGACCCACACCACUGGCUCUGUUGGGCCUCCAGCGACUUCUACAACUGUGCGAGCCAAUUUCUUAUAAUGGCCCAUGUCCCCCACCUGGGUUCUGACUGUCUGGAGAACCCCAAUUAAUACAGAUUUCUAAGGAGACACCGAGGCAAGAAUUUGAGGACUACUAGUUGAAUAGGAGUGAUCCAGGAAGCAUGGCUAGGAAGGAGAGCGACAGAAAUGAGACAGGGAAAGGAAGGAAGUCAGCCAAGGCUCACUGGCACUGUGGGCAACGGGCCACACCGGGAAAUGUUAUGAAACGGAAGCUGAUGUUCGUCUGCCUGAGGAUGAGGGAGGUGGGCCAGUCAUCUUCCAGCUCUCUCCCACUUCAUUGCCUGAGAGCUGCUCCUGGGAGCAUUAACUCCUCAGCCCUUCUGGCCUCUGCUGUGCAGAUCAUGAGACGCCUUCACAGGGAGCACGGCAGGCUCUUGUAGACGGAUGCUCUCCACAGGUCCUGGAAGCUAAGGACUGAGGGCAUAAGGGUGAGCAUCGAAUGGCAUCCACUGUCAUGACUGAGGGGAUGGAGACUGGGCUGGUAACCCAGGCAGAGUUCAGAGGAGGAAGAGUGUUAUGGGAUAGAGUAAGAAGGGAGAGAUUUACGGAGGAGUUGGGGCAUUGACUCAGCCUCUGUAAGAGGGGAAGAGGCAUGGUGAGCCCGGGUUGUGGAGUGUGUAGUCUCGGAGGCUGCGGAGAGCCUGAGCUGGUGAUGAAAGCUGGAUCAUUGAGGACCGUCUGCUCCGGAAUGGCUGCAGUGCAAGCGGAUGUUGGCCCCAGUGUGUGCCACGGAUGUUGGCCCCAGUGUGUGCCACGGAUGUUGGCCCCAGUGUGUGCCACGGAUGUUGGCCCCAGUGUGCCACAGAUGUUGGCCCCAGUGUGCCAUGGAUGUUGGCCCCAGUGUGUGCCACAUGGACAGGGCAUCUUGAGCAGAGACACAUGAAGUAUUUUGGCGUGGCAGAGCCUCUCCCUUGCUCCCCAGCAUCCAUUCUUUCUAAUUUUUUUUUUUUUGAGUCAGAGUCUUGCUCUGUUGCCCAGGCUGGAGUGCAG